UACGUAGGUGGCAAGCGUUGUCCGGAAUUAUUGGGCGUAAAGAGCUCGUAGGCGGUCUGUCACGUCGGCUGUGAAAACCCGAGGCUCAACCUCGGGCCUGCAGUCGAUACGGGCAAACUAGAGUACUGCAGGGGAGACUGGAAUUCCUGGUGUAGCGGUGAAAUGCGCAGAUAUCAGGAGGAACACCGGUGGCGAAGGCGGGUCUCUGGGCAGUAACUGACGCUGAGGAGCGAAAGCGUGGGGAGCGAACAGG
rnacentral:rRNA from 1 species